rnacentral:lncRNA from 1 species
AAAUUUUCAAUAGAAGCAAACCUUCUCACAUUCAGAUCUUAGCUUUGGAUCACUGUUCAUGCCCAUUUUACUCUUGUAAGCAGCAACUAAUCGUCUUGUGCGUGCUUCUUUAGCAGCUUUUUCUUCAGCUGUUUCCAGCACUUCCCCUGGGCGUAUAACUCUUCCACCACCACACUGAACAAAUAAAGAAAACUUAGUUAAAUCAAUCACAUUUUCAAUCCCUUCCCCUAUUUCAUUC